rnacentral:rRNA from 1 species
GAUGAACGCUGGCGGCGUGCCUAAUACAUGCAAGUCGAGCGAACAGACGAGGAGCUUGCUCCUCUGACGUUAGCGGCGGACGGGUGAGUAACACGUGGAUAACCUACCUAUAAGACUGGGAUAACUUCGGGAAACCGGAGCUAAUACCGGAUAAUAUAUUGAACCGCAUGGUUCAAUAGUGAAAGACGGUUUUGCUGUCACUUAUAGAUGGAUCCGCGCCGCAUUAGCUAGUUGGUAAGGUAACGGCUUACCAAGGCAACGAUGCGUAGCCGACCUGAGAGGGUGAUCGGCCACACUGGAACUGAGACACGGUCCAGACUCCUACGGGAGGCAGCAGUAGGGAAUCUUCCGCAAUGGGCGAAAGCUUGACGGAGCAACGCCGCGUGAGUGUUGAAGGUCUUCGGAUCGUAAAACUCUGUUAUUAGGGAAGAACAAAUGUGUAAGUAACUCUGCACGUCUUGACGGUACCUAAUCAGAAAGCCACGGCUAACUACGUG